UCAGGAUUUUGUUGGGGUUCUGAUGUGUGUAAGCAUUGGCCGCUAAUUAAGAUCCCUAUACGCUUCAUCGAUCUUUCUUUGCUUGCCUAGAAUGGCUCCAUUACGCUUGGUGGGCAGGCACAGUGGCGUUGCUUCAUCUUUGCCUAAUUCGGGUCAACCAGAAUGUUUACGAUAUAUGUUUUGGACCUUUGGUUUUUUAAUUGUUUUUCUUGCUUGUGGCAGCCUGUUAGGACUUAGGACUUUUUUUUCUCUCCAGGCCUUGAUUAUGCUAGUUUGAGCUUUGAGUGUG
rnacentral:misc_RNA from 1 species